GAUGAACGCUGGCGGCGUGCCUAAUACAUGCAAGUCGAGCGAACAGACGAGGAGCUUGCUCCUCUGACGUUAGCGGCGGACGGGUGAGUAACACGUGGAUAACCUACCUAUAAGACUGGGAUAACAUCGGGAAACCGGAGCUAAUACCGGAUAAUAUAUUGAACCGCAUGGUUCAAUAGUGAAAGACGGUUUUGCUGUCACUUAUAGAUGGAUCCGCGCCGCAUUAGCUAGUUGGUAAGGUAACGGCUUACCAAGGCAACGAUGCGUAGCCGACCUGAGAGGGUGAUCGGCCACACUGGAACUGAGACACGGUCCAGACUCCUACGGGAGGCAGCAGUAGGGAAUCUUCCGCAAUGGGCGAAAGCUUGACGGAGCAACGCCGCGUGAGUGAUGAAGGUCUUCGGAUCGUAAAACUCUGUUAUUAGGGAAGAACAAAUGUGUAAGUAACUAUGCACGUCUUGACGGUACCUAAUCAGAAAGCCACGGCUAACUACGUG
rnacentral:rRNA from 1 species